rnacentral:rRNA from 1 species
CCCUUAGACGUUCUGGGCCGCACGCGCGCUGCACUGACCAGUGCAACAAGCAUCCGUCCUUGGCCGACAGGCCCGGGCAAUCUUUGAACGCUGGUCGUGAUGGGGAUAGACUUUUGCAAUUUUUGGUCUUCAACGAGGAAUUCCUAGUAAACGCAAGUCAUCAACUUGCAUUGAUUACGUCCCUGCCCUUUGUACACACCGCCCGUCGCACCUACCGAUUGAAUGGUCCGGUGAAGCCUCCGGAUUGGCGCGCACCUCGGUGCCGCCGAGAAGUUGGCUAAACCUUACCAUUUAGAGGAAGGUGAAGUCGUAACA